CCUGGCACCACCCCACCACUCUGAUGCCUCUUUGGGGAGGACGAGCACUAACGGGGAGUUUGGGGGACCAUAACCAGGGUGGGUGCUAGUCCAGGCCUAACUACUCUCGCGGUGGCUCACGCCUGUAAUCGCUAUGGCUCAAGCCUGUAAUCCCAGCACUUUGGGAGGCCGAGGCGGGUGGAUCACGAGGUCAAGAGAUCGAGACCAUCCUGGUCAACAUGGUGAAACACCGUCUCUACUAAAAAUACAAAAAAUUAGCUGGGCAUGGUGGUGCGUGCCUGUAAUCCCAGCUACUCAGGAGACUGAGGCAGGAGAAUUGCCUGAACCCAGGAGGCGGAGGUUGCGGUGAGCUGAGAUUGCGCCAUUGCACUCCUGCCUGGGUAACAAGAGUGAAACUCCAUCUCAAAAAAAAAGAAAAGAACGACUCUCCUCAGUCCUGCUCUAGAGGUCCCCAUGCCAGGGAGGACAGACUGGCAUCCAAGCUAAUCAACACCCUGCAAGCCUCGUGUGCAGCUGUGGGGCCAGAGCCCUCAGGGUUUCCCUGUUGGGCUGAGCACAGUGGCAUUUCCAAGGGAUGGUCCAGGAGCUGGGGAGCAGAAAGACAAAACACCCUAGUUCUAACUACAGCACCCUGUGCUCCCCACAAGAGAGAACCCAGGAUCCUAUGCCUGCCCUGCAAGAAUGGUCUUUACUUAUCUCUCCAACUGCUCUCCCUCCUCCUUUGUCUCUGUUGCCCAGACACACUUGACACAUCCUCUUCCCCUCCUCGCUGCUUUCCGGGCUGGUAACAGUUGGGCUUGGAUGGGGAGCUGCCCUAUUGGGGGAAUAUCCAGCCCGGUGGGCCUGGUUCCCAGCAGCCCUGGCAGACAGCAGCUCAGGGCGAUGGGAGGCAGGCAGUUCCUAACAGGCAGUACUGGGAUGCAGCAGGUCCAGGGUAGAGGACUGCAGACCCUGAUGGAGAACUGCCAUCCACUGUGGGGCACAGAGGCCAGCAAGUGAGAUUCCAGCUAAAAGAGUGCCGCUGAACAUUUGAUAGGCUGAUUACAAAUUGCUCCUCUGGAUUCAUUAAAGUAGAUUUCCCAAGAGAACUUGUCUACGGCAAAGAGACACACCCAGCCAACCGUUAAGCUCCCUUCUGAUGUCAGGGGCUGGCUCCUCAGCUCUCUGCCUCCAGGCUCCUGGUGACUGGGCCCUUUCUUGCUUGGGGUGGCAUGAUUCCCCUCGAGGCAUCCGGGAAGACUGCAGAUGCACAGGCACUAGCUGCAGUGCUCCCAGGGCCAUUCUCAGAAAGUGAAGCUUGAUUUUUUUCUCCAUCCGUGGUGUGAUUAUGGCAUGAAAUCCAUGCACGGCUCCUCUCACAUGAUGAACAAUCUUUGUGAUUUCCACCCAAACUUCUCUCCUCUCUCUUUUGUCCUCCUCAUUCACAGGCCCCAUUUGCAGAAGAAAGAGAGAGAGAUAGAGAGAGAGAGGAAGAAAGAAAGAUGGAAGAAAGGAAAGGAAGGAAGGAGGAAAGGAAGGAAGGGAAGGAAGGAAGGAAGGAAGGAAGAUGGGAAAAUAGAAAGGGAGAGGAGAGAAAAAAAUAAAAACCAAACAAAG
ensembl:lncRNA